ACAUGAUAGAAUCACCCACACUUUGUGAUAACCAAACGUGGGUAAAACCUGUGUAAAAUAGAAACCAAAAGGAACUGACUGAAACAGCCUCCUGCUGUACCUGGUGAUUGUUGACCGUAGGUGCGUGACUUCCACUACAUCCCCAAGAGCGAUAGAGGGGCUACACCAUGGCGACACUCUGCGUGACCGUCACACCAUGCUGCGUUGGAUUGUAAUGGAUAAGUAUUACUGGACCCCCAGCUGUGACGUGGUGGAGGGGUCGCCACCUUCUUCUAAAACCGUUGUGGUCCUGCUGAGAUGCGUCUCGCUUUUUUUUGAUGAUCGACCAUGACCAAUGCAGUUUACCGUAUAUAAAGACUUCUGUUUUCGUGAUACCCACCAUAGGAAGGCCAGUACAGCGUGUUACACAAUGAACAACUUAACAGUUUUGUUGCUUCUAGCGAUCGGGUGCAUGGUUGCGUUAACUCUAUGUGACGCGCACGGUCACGGACAUGGUCACCAUGGACACGGGCAUGGACAUGGUCAUCACGGACAUGGUCAUGGUCAUCACGGGCAUGGUCAUGGUCAUCACGGG